GGCCGCUGCCGGUGCGCGGCGGCGGAGAGCAGCCGGCGGCGGGGAGCGCGCAGCCCUGCGCCCGGGGAGGCAGCGGCUCGGCGCCGCGGUGCCUCGCGGAGGCGGAGAGGAUGAGGAUGGCUUCUGGCUUUUUUUUUGCCUCCUCGCGAUGAUUUCCAUAGUAACCUGAUCGAGCGGUGCAAUUUCGGAAACUGGGGUGGCUUUAUUAUUAUUUUUUCCCUCCCCAUUUUUUUCCCCCGUUUAAUCUCACCUCUCCCCGAGGAGUGCCAGCCGACAGGAACAUCAUCAGACCAGAAGCCAUCUUUACAUUUGUGGUUUUUUUCAUUCUGGCAAAAGAACUGGAUGGAGAAUAAUUUUAAAUAUAUAUGGGAAUAUACUUAAAACCUGACAACUGCAAUGUUUUUUGUUUUAACAUUGGGUUCACAGUCAGGAUGUAACCUCCUGUAAAAUGGAAACCUGUGAAGAACGAUACAGAUAGCAGUUGGAGCUAAAAGUUGUGGAUGAAUAUUUCUCUUCUUAAGCAUCAGCUUUUAAAAACGCUAUGGUGAUUUGGAAAGUCUCAAGGGUGAACUGCAAAGUUUUCCUCAGCUCAGUCGAUGCAUUUCUUAGUAAUUUCUCCAAGUCAUUGAUGAUCAGAGAUGGUGUGUGAUGGAAAAAAGCACCAUGUUUCUGUGUUUGUAGCCCCUGUUUUUUGGAUUAGUUUGCUGCAUUGUUGAACCGAUUUCAUUUUGAAGGGCAAAGAGUAAAUGUGAUGGAUUUAUCUUCAGAGAUGAACAAACAUGGAAGGAAUCCAGUAAGUCAUAAACUAGAAGAUCAAAAGAAGGUAAGAUUGUUUUUAAUUACUUAAUUAUAUUUGAAUGACUUGCAGACUCUUUGAUUUUCAGUAAGCUAGAAAUGAAUGUGCUUCAAGGAUAAAGUAGCCUGCUAUGCUCACAUUAUAUUGCAAUACAGAAAACUCCCUGAAUUUGUCUAGCAAACUGUCUGUCAAAACCUGGACUUGCUGACCUGAAGCAAAAAUCUGACAUCAGUCUGAGACAGGGUGAGACCUUUGUUUUUGACUGUGGAUGCGUAGCAGACCCUUCUCAUUCUGUCCUACACAUAGUUUUGGAU
rnacentral:lncRNA from 1 species